GACGAACGCUGGCGGCGUGCUUAACACAUGCAAGUCGAACGGAAAGACCCUGCUUUUGUGGGGUGCUCGAGUGGCGAACGGGUGAGUAACACGUGAGUAACCUGCCCUUGACUUUGGGAUAACUUCAGGAAACUGGGGCUAAUACCGGAUAGGAGCUCCUGCUGCAUGGUGGGGGUUGGAAAGUUUCGGCGGUUGGGGUUGGACUCGCGGCUUAUCAGCUUGUUGGUGGGGUAGUGGCUUACCAAGGCUUUGACGGGUAGCCGGCCUGAGAGGGUGACCGGCCACAUAGGGACUGAGAUACGGCCCACACUCAUACGGGCGGGAGGCGUGGGUAAUAUUGAACAAUGGGCGGACGCCAGCUGCAGCAACGCCGCGUGCGGGAUGACGGCCUUCGGGUUGUAAACCGCUUUCGCCUGUGACGAAGCGUGAGUGACGGUAAUGGGUAAAGAAGCACCGGCUAACUCCUU
rnacentral:rRNA from 1 species